rnacentral:tmRNA from 1 species
GGGGUAGUCAAGGUUUCGACAGGGGUAAUGCAGCUGGAGAAGCUAUCCGCACGCGAUGCGUCAAAUCGCAAACCUAAAUAUAAACGCUAACAACAGAGUAGCUUUAGCAGCCUAAGUGCUGCUUGUCCGCCCGGGUACACCCGCGUAUCCGGAUCCGGGCAUCAUCCUCGCGGGAAACGGCUUGUGUUAAGCUUUGCGCACAGGUACGUAUCAUGAAGCUACCGAGUUCUGCAGGGUGUUGAUCCCCGGCAGAAUAAGGGAAACCUAAACGAUCAACUACGAUAGUAGAAGGACAGGGAAUUUGCUUUUGGACACGGGUUCGACUCCCGUCUACUCCAC